GAUGAACGCUAGCGGCAGGCCUAAUACAUGCAAGUCGAACGGGAUCUGAGGGUAGCUUGCUACCCGAUUUGAGAGUGGCGCACGGGUGCGUAACGCGUGAGCAACCUACCCAUAUCAGGGGGAUAGCCCGAAGAAAUUCGGAUUAACACCGCAUAAUAAUACGCUAACACAUGUUGAUGUAUUUAAAUAUUUAUAGGAUAUGGAUGGGCUCGCGUGACAUUAGCUAGUUGGUAAGGUAACGGCUUACCAAGGCGACGAUGUCUAGGGGCUCUGAGAGGAGAAUCCCCCACACUGGUACUGAGACACGGACCAGACGCCUACGGGAGGCAGCAGUAAGGAAUAUUGGUCAAUGGGCGCAAGCCUGAACCAGCCAUGCCGCGUGCAGGAUGACUGCCCUAUGGGUUGUAAACUGCUUUUGUUAGGGAAUAAACCUUCUUACGUGUAAGGAGCUGAAUGUACCUAAAGAAUAAGGAUCGGCUAACUCCGUGCCAGCAGCCGCGGUAA
rnacentral:rRNA from 1 species